CAGACUGCAACAGUAAAAGAAAUUCACAAGAAUCAAAAAUAAAUUUUUUUUAGUAAAUACACAACAUUUUGUUUAACAAGUUUUUUCUCUUUUGUAAGAGUUCUACACAAGCCAUCAAGUUUUCAAGCAUAAACAUUUAUUUUUAUGCCCCCCUUUGAAGAAGAGGGGGUAUAUUGCUUUGCUCAUGUCGGUCGGUCUGUCGGUUGGUCGGUCUAUCGGUCCGUCCACCAGGUGGUUGUCAGAUGAUAACUCAAGAACGCUUGGGCCUAGGAUCAUGAAACUUCAUAGGUACAUUGAUCAUGACUUGCAGAUGACCCCUAUUAAUUUUGAGGUCACUAGGUCAAAGGUCAAGGUCACGGUGACCCGAAAUAGUAAAAUGGUUUCCGGAUGAUAACUCAAGAACGCAUAUGCCUAGGAUCAUGAAACUUCAUGGGUAGAUUGAUCAUGACUCGCAGAUGACCCCUAUUGAUUUUGAGGUCACUAGGUCAAAGGUCAAGGUCACGGUGACCCGAAAUAGUAAAAUGGUUUUCGGAUGAUAACUCAAGAACGCAUAUGCCUAGGAUCAUGAAACUUCAUGGGUAGAUUGAUCAUGACUCGCAGAUGACCCCUAUUGAUUUUCAGGUCACUAGGUCAAAGGUCAAGGUCACGGUGACCCGAAAUAGUAAAAUGGUUUUCGGAUGAUAACUCAAGAACGCAUAUGCCUAGGAUCAUGAAACUUCAUAGGUAGAUUGAUCAUGACUCGCAGAUGACCCCUAUUGAUUAUGAGGUCACAAGGUCAAAGGUCAAGGUCACGGUGACCCGAAAUAGUAAAAUGAUUUUCGGAUGAUAACUCAAGAACGCUUUUGCCUAGGAUCAUGACACUUCAUAGGUACAUUGAUCGUGACUCGCAGAUGACCCCUAAUGAUUUUCAGGUCACUAGGUCAAAGGUCAAGGUCACGGUGACCCGAAAUAGUAAAAUGGUUUUCGGAUGAUAACUCAAGAACGCAUAUGCCUAGGAUCAUGAAACUUCAUAGGUAGAUUGAUCAUGACUCGCAGAUGACCCCUAUUGAUUAUGAGGUCACAAGGUCAAAGGUCAAGGUCACGGUGACCCGAAAUAGUAAAAUGAUUUUCGGAUGAUAACUCAAGAACGCUUUUGCCUAGGAUCAUGACACUUCAUAGGUACAUUGAUCGUGACUCGCAGAUGACCCCUAAUGAUUUUCAGGUCACUAGGUCAAAGGUCAAGGUCACAGUGACAAAAAACGUAUUCACACAAUGGCUGCCACUACAACGGACAGCCCAUAUGGGGGGCAUGUAUGUUUUACAAACAGCCCUUGUUUUAGUAAAAUAACAAGUUUUUAUCGAGUUUGUUUUGUUGUAAGAUGUUUCUAAAGCUUUUAAUGCUUUAAAAUUAUGAAUGCUUUAAAUGUUUUUCCUGAC